rnacentral:rRNA from 1 species
GACGAACGCUGGCGGCGUGCUUAACACAUGCAAGUCGAACGGAAAGGCCCUGCUUUUGUGGGGUGCUCGAGUGGCGAACGGGUGAGUAACACGUGAGUAACCUGCCCUUGACUUUGGGAUAACUUCAGGAAACUGGGGCUAAUACCGGAUAGGAGCUCCUGCUGCAUGGUGGGGGUUGGAAAGUUUCGGCGGUUGGGGAUGGACUCGCGGCUUAUCAGCUUGUUGGUGGGGUAGUGGCUUACCAAGGCUUUGACGGGUAGCCGGCCUGAGAGGGUGACCGGCCACAUUGGGACUGAGAUACGGCCCAGACUGCUACGGGAGGCAGCAGUGGGGAAUAUUGCACAAUGGGCGGAAGCCUGAUGCAGCAACGCCGCGUGCGGGAUGACGGCCUUCGGGUUGUAAACCGCUUUCGCCUGUGACGAAGCGUGAGUGACGGUAAUGGGUAAAGAAGCACCAGCUAACUACGUG